rnacentral:rRNA from 1 species
AACGCAGCGAAGGGCGAUAGUAAUGUGAAUUGCAGAAUUCAGUGAAUCAUCGAAUCUUUGAACGCACAUUGCACCUUCUGGUAUUCCGGGAGGUAUGCCUGUUCGAGCGUCAUUGCAACCAACAAGCUAUGCUUGGUAUUGGAUGUCACUAUAUUAGGUGCACCCUAAAAUUAGUAGCAGUGCUCCUAGCUUCAAGCGUAGUAAAUUUCUCGCUACUGGAGUCUAGAUGUUGUACACUGUCUGAACCCCUAAAUUAUUAAGGUUUGACCUCGGAUCAGGUAGGGAUACCCGCUGAACUUAA